rnacentral:rRNA from 1 species
GAUGAACGUUGGCGGCGUGCCUAACACAUGCAAGUCGAACGGAAAUAGCAAUAUUUGAGUGGCGCACGGGUGAGUAACACGUAGCUAAUCUACCUCAAAGCGCGGGAUAACGUGUCGAAAGACAGGCUAAUACCGCAUAAGCUCCCGAUCUGUAGAGGGUUGGGAGAAAAGGCGCAAGUCACUUUGAGAUGAGGCUGCGGCCCAUCAGCUAGUUGGUGCGGUAAUGGCGUACCAAGGCGACGACGGGUAGGGGACCUGAGAGGGUGACCCCCCACACUGGGACUGAGACACGGCCCAGACUCCUACGGGAGGCAGCAGUGAGGAAUAUUGCACAAUGGGCGAAAGCCUGAUGCAGCGACGCCGCGUGGGUGAAGAAGGUUUUCGG